rnacentral:rRNA from 1 species
GCACAAGCGGUGGAGCAUGUGGUUUAAUUCGAAGCAACGCGAAGAACCUUACCAGGUCUUGACAUCCCGAUGCUAUUUCUAGAGAUAGAAAGUUACUUCGGUACAUCGGUGACAGGUGGUGCAUGGUUGUCGUCAGCUCGUGUCGUGAGAUGUUGGGUUAAGUCCCACAACGAGCGCAACCCCUAUUGUUAGUUGCCAUCAUUCAGUUGGGCACUCUAGCGAGACUGCCGGUAAUAAACCGGAGGAAGGUGGGGAUGACGUCAAAUCAUCAUGCCCCUUAUGACCUGGGCUACACACGUGCUACAAUGGUUGGUACAACGAGUUGCGAGUCGGUGACGGCGAGCUAAUCUCUUAAAGCCAAUCUCAGUUCGGAUUGUAGGCUGCAACUCGCCUACAUGAAGUCGGAAUCGCUAGUAAUCGCGGAUCAGCACGCCGCGGUGAAUACGUUCCCGGGCCUU